AAAUGAAAAAAAACUGUAAAAACUAGUAAAAAUGAAAAAUGAUUAUUUUUAAUUUUUAAUAAACUAACUAUAGACUGUACGUCCGUUCGAUCCUAACUAACUGAUCUGUGCGUACUGGACGCCAUUUGAUGGUUCAGGGGUAUUUUCGUCUGAAUUUGGCUGAAUGGUUAAAUGGUGGAAGACCCAUUUUACUUUGCCAAAUCCUGAAAUAAAAACAUGGUCAAUGGCUACUGUAUAUAAUUUACCCAAGAAAUCAAGCGUUUUAGUCGAAACCAAACAUGGAACACAUAGGCCUAGAGCACCCUUUACACGUCCAAAGC
rnacentral:sRNA from 1 species